rnacentral:lncRNA from 10 species
CUGCUUUCCUCAGGAAGAAAGAAGGGAGAAUAGGUGGCAAUGGGUGAGUCUUUAUUUUCCUUGAGACUGAAUUGAGGAUGUCAACUGUCUUAGAAAGAAAAUCGAAGCAAAUCCCUUUGUUCCAUUGCCCUUCAUAGGGAAAACAUACUAAAUUGGUCCUCUCUUUGCUAGGCUCUUCCAAAGGUUUAUAUCCUUGCUGAAAUAAUCUCUUUGGGAAUCACUUCUAAAUUUCAUGACCUUGUUCACUCUUUCUUAUUAGCCAUUCUUACAUCAGUUCUACCCUCUCCUAGUGCUAAAGCAUCUGGUAAAGCCAACUAAAUUUCUUGUGGAUUAGUGUGGUGCUUACCCAACAACAUGGGUGUGGUAGACAGCCUCCAGGAUGGCCCCAAAGACCCCAGCCUCAUGAUAUGCACACACUUGAGUAGUUCUCCUCCACAGUGUGCUGUGGUUUGUGUAACCAACAGAAUAUGGGAGAAGUGAUGGUAUGUCAUUUUUAAGAUUACAAAAAGAUGCUGCAUCUUCUAUUUUGACCACAUCUCUCUUGGAUCACUUGCUUUAAGGGAAGCCUGCUGCCAUGUCUUGAGGACCCUCCAACAGCUCUGUGGAGAAGCCCACAUGGUGAGAAACUGAGGCCUUCAUGCAACAGCCAUGUGAAAAAGUCUUCAUGGAAGUGGGUCUUCCAGCCCAAUCAGAUCUUCAGAUGACUGCAGCCCCAGCUGACAGUUUCACAGGAAACUAAUGAGAGACCCUGAACCAGAGCCACCUGGGGUCAAGAUGUGCUGUACAAACCUAGUCUCACCAUCAGAACACCACUGUUCAUUUUUCUUCUGUUUUUCCUCCUCCCAUUUUGAUUACUUUGGCUACAGUUUCCAUGUUACAGGCCAUCUUGGUCCUGCCUCUUUUUCCUACCCCUCAAGCAGUUGUUAAGGCAACCGCCAAUUUCCACAGAAGGACUCCUACUCAAAGGUCAAAUGUCCACAUCAAGGAUUUUCAGUGUCCUUGUCCUAGGAUUUAGGACUGUGUGUGACUCAAGAAAGUUCAUAAUUUUUUUCCUAAGCCAGGUCAUGAAGGUCCAAGUACAGGGCAAAGUUCUUCAACUGAGAGACUUCCCUAGUACAAAGGAGAAGAUGAGAUGCAGUGAGAACCUCUGGCCAGCCCAAGGCAACAGCUGCUCCAU